AUCCAGCUGAAAAGUCCUAAAUAGGACCAAACAUGCGUCCUGGGU
rnacentral:hammerhead_ribozyme from 1 species